GACGAACGCUGGCGGCGUGCUUAACACAUGCAAGUCGAACGGUGAACUCCGCUUGCGGGGGGAUCAGUGGCAAACGGGUGAGUAACACGUGGGCAACCUGCCCUCAGCUCUGGGAUAACUCCAAGAAAUUGGGGCUAAUACCGGAUAUGACCGCUGACCGCAUGGUCUGGUGGUGGAAAGAUUUAUCGGCUGGGGAUGGGCCCGCGGCCUAUCAGCUUGUUGGUGGGGUAGUGGCCUACCAAGGCGACGACGGGUAGCCGGCCUGAGAGGGUGACCGGCCACACUGGGACUGAGACACGGCCCAGACUCCUACGGGAGGCAGCAGUGGGGAAUAUUGCGCAAUGGGCGAAAGCCUGACGCAGCGACGCCGCGUGGGGGAUGACGGCCUUCGGGUUGUAAACCUCUUUCAGCAGGGACGAAGCGAAAGUGACGGUACCUGCAGAAGAAGCACCGGCCAACUACGUG
rnacentral:rRNA from 1 species